AGUCGAUAAGAGGCGUUUAAUCCAAGAUGUCCGAAUGGGGAAACCCAGUAGGUGAAGAACCUACUAUCACCCAGUGAAUACAUAGCUGUGUGAGGCAAACCGGGAGAACUGAAACAUCUAAGUACCCCGAGGAAAAGAAAUCAACCGAGAUUUCGUUAGUAGCGGCGAGCGAACGCGAAAGAGCCAGUUAGUGAUAGCAGUAAAGUUAGGGGAAUGUUCUGGGAAGGACAAUCGUAGAGGGUGAUAAUCCCGUACCUUAAAACUCCAUUGUGGUACUAGGCUAACAACAAGUAGGGCGGGACACGUGAUAUCCUGUUUGAAGAUGGGGGGACCAUCCUCCAAGGCUAAAUACUCCUGAUUGACCGAUAGUGAACCAGUACUGUGAAGGAAAGGUGAAAAGAACCCCGGCGAGGGGAGUGAAAUAGAACCUGAAACCUUGUGCGUACAAGCAGUGGGAGCAAGAGUAAUCUUGUGACUGCGUACCUUUUGUAUAAUGGGUCAGCGACUUAUAUUUUGUAGCAAGGUUAACUGAAUAAGGGAGCCGUAGGGAAACCGAGUCUUAACUGGGCGUGUAGUUGCAAGGUAUAGACCCGAAACCCGGUGAUCUAGCCAUGGGCAGGUUGAAGGUUGGGUAACACUAACUGGAGGACCGAACCGACUAAUGUUGAAAAAUUAGCGGAUGACUUGUGGCUGGGGGUGAAAGGCCAAUCAAACCGGGAGAUAGCUGGUUCUCCCCGAAAUCUAUUUAGGUAGAGCCUUGAGCGGACACCUUCGGGGGUAGAGCACUGUUUCGGCUAGGGGUCCAUCCCGGAUUACCAACCCGAUGCAAACUGCGAAUACCGAAGAGUGAUACUCAGGAGACACACGGUGGGUGCUAACGUCCAUCGUGGAGAGGGAAACAACCCAGACCGCCAGCUAAGGUCCCAAAGUCUAUAUUAAGUGGGAAACGAAGUGGGAAGGCUUAGACAGCUAGGAUGUUGGCUUAGAAGCAGCCACCAUUUAAAGAAAGCGUAAUAGCUCACUAGUCGAGUCGGCCUGCGCGGAAGAUGUAACGGGGCUCAAAUAUAGCACCGAAGCUGCGGCAUCAGACGAAAGUCUGUUGGGUAGGGGAGCGUUGUGUAAGUCGAUGAAGGUGGAUUGAGAAGUCUGCUGGAGAUAUCACAAGUGCGAAUGCUGACAUAAGUAACGAUAAAACGAGUGAAAAACUCGUUCGCCGGAAGACCAAGGGUUCCUGUCCAACGUUAAUCGGGGCAGGGUGAGUCGGCCCCUAAGGCGAGGCUGAAAAGCGUAGUCGAUGGGAAACGGGUUAAUAUUCCCGUACUUGUAAUAACUGCGAUGUGGGGACGGAGAAGGUUAGGUUAGCAGACUGUUGGAUGUCUGUUUAAGCCGGUAGGUGGGAAGAUUAGGCAAAUCCGGUCUUCCUUAACACCGAGAAGUGAUGACGAGUCUCUACGGAGAUGAAGUAAUCGAUACCACGCUUCCAGGAAAAGCCACUAAGCUUCAGGUUAUUAUAAACCGUACUAUAAACCGACACAGGUGGUCAGGUAGAGAAUACUCAGGCGCUUGAGAGAACUCGGGUGAAGGAACUAGGCAAAAUAGCACCGUAACUUCGGGAGAAGGUGCGCCGGCGUAGAUUGUAGUCCCUUGCGGAUGAAGGUUGAACCGGUCGAAGAUACCAGCUGGCUGCAACUGUUUAUUAAAAACACAGCACUCUGCAAACACGAAAGUGGACGUAUAGGGUGUGAUGCCUGCCCGGUGCUGGAAGGUUAAUUGAUGGUGUUAUCGCAAGAGAAGCUCCUGAUCGAAGCCCCAGUAAACGGCGGCCGUAACUAUAACGGUCCUAAGGUAGCGAAAUUCCUUGUCGGGUAAGUUCCGACCUGCACGAAUGGCAUAAUGAUGGCCAGGCUGUCUCCACCCGAGACUCAGUGAAAUUGAAAUCGCCGUGAAGAUGCGGUGUACCCGCGGCUAGACGGAAAGACCCCGUGAACCUUUACUAUAGCUUGACACUGAACAUUGAAUUUUGAUGUGUAGGAUAGGUGGGAGCCUUUGAAGCAGUCACGCCAGUGAUUGUGGAGGCGU
rnacentral:rRNA from 1 species